GGAAAGUCUAUCGGAUUACUGGGCGUAAAGCGCACGCAGGCGGUCUGUCAAGUCGGAUGUGAAAUCCCCGGGCUCAACCUGGGAACUGCAUUCGAAACUGGCAGGCUAGAGUCUUGUAGAGGGGGGUAGAAUUCCAGGUGUAGCGGUGAAAUGCGUAGAGAUCUGGAGGAAUACCGGUGGCGAAGGCGGCCCCCUGGACAAAGACUGACGCUCAGGUGCGAAAGCGUGGGGAGCAAACAGGAUUAGAUACCCUGGUAGUCCACGCCGUAAACGAUGUCGAUUUGGAGGUUGUGCCCUUGAGGCGUGGCUUCCGGAGCUAACGCGUUAAAUCGACCGCCUGGGGAGUACGGCCGCAAGGUUAAAACUCAAAUGAAUUGACGGGGGCCCGCACAAGCGGUGGAGCAUGUGGUUUAAUUCGAUGCAACGCGAAGAACCUUACCUGGUCUUGACAUCCACAGAACUUAGCAGAGAUGCUUUGGUGCCUUCGGGAACUGUGAGACAGGUGCUGCAUGGCUGUCGUCAGCUCGUGUUGUGAAAUGUUGGGUUAAGUCCCGCAACGAGCGCAACCCUUAUCCUUUGUUGCCAGCGGUUAGGCCGGGAACUCAAAGGAGACUGCCAGUGAUAAACUGGAGGAAGGUGGGGAUGACGUCAAGUCAUCAUGGCCCUUACGACCAGGGCUACACACGUGCUACAAUGGCAUAUACAAAGAGAAGCGACCUCGCGAGAGCAAGCGGACCUCAUAAAGUAUGUCGUAGUCCGGAUUGGAGUCUGCAACUCGACUCCAUGAAGUCGGAAUCGCUAGUAAUCGUAGAUCAGAAUGCUACGGUGAAUACGUUCCCGGGCCUUGUACACACCGCCCGUCACACCAUGGGAGUGGGUUGCAAAAGAAGUAGGUAGCUUAACCUUCGGGAGGGCGCUUACCACUUUGAUUACAG
rnacentral:rRNA from 1 species